rnacentral:rRNA from 1 species
GCCUACGGGGGGCAGCAGUGGGGAAUUUUGGACAAUGGGGGCAACCCUGAUCCAGCCAUGCCGCGUGAGUGAAGAAGGCCUUCGGGUUGUAAAGCUCUUUCAGACGGAAAGAAACGGCUACGGCUAAUACCCGUGGCUAAUGACGGUACCGUCAGAAGAAGCACCGGCUAACUACGUGCCAGCAGCCGCGGUAAUACGUAGGGUGCGAGCGUUAAUCGGAAUUACUGGGCGUAAAGCGUGCGCAGGCGGUUUUGUAAGACAGGUGUGAAAUCCCCGGGCUUAACCUGGGAACUGCAUUUGUGACUGCAAGGCUAGAGUAUGGCAGAGGGGGGUAGAAUUCCACGUGUAGCAGUGAAAUGCGUAGAUAUGUGGAGGAAUACCGAUGGCGAAGGCAGCCCCCUGGGUCAAUACUGACGCUCAUGCACGAAAGCGUGGGGAGCAAACAGGAUUAGAUACCCCGGUAGC